GGCGCUAUAGUGUAGUGGCAGCACAUGGGAUUCUGAUUCACUUGGUCCUCGAUCUUCCCAUAACCCAGGUUCGACCCCUGGUAGUGCCU